rnacentral:rRNA from 1 species
GCUCGUCCUCCGGGAUGGUGGGGACACUGUUGGGACCGCCUCUGCUAAAGAGGAGGAAGGAAUGGGCAACGGUAGGUCAGCAUGCCCCGAAUUAACCGGGCUACACGCGGGCUACAAUGGGUGGGACAAUGGGUAUCGACACCGAAAGGUGAAGGCAAUCUCCUAAACCCACCCUUAGUUCGGAUUGUGGGCUGCAACUCGCCCACAUGAAGCUGGAAUCUGUAGUAAUCGUGUCUCAAAAUGGCACGGUGAAUAUGUCCCUGUCCUUGCA